CGCCGUGAUUGUGAGGCUUCCCCAGCCAUGUGGAACUGUGACUGAUGGAAGUUUCGGAGGCUGGACUGGAAGAUGAAAUUGGGGCGAGAUGGCACACAGCAUGGCCUCAGGAACCUGGGCUCCAGCAACCUGCAGGUCCCAAUGGAGGCAAAGUCAAGGAGGGUCUUAGGGAGUGGUUGAUGUGUGAAGUCUCUGUCUGCCCAUCUGAAUAACACGAGCACCCCUACCUGAGGGCCUCCAGGAGGAAUGACGUCUCAAAUAGAAACCUGCAUAACAUCAGCCAAAACCAAGGACCCAUUUUAUCAUCAAAGAGGUGUGCCAUGAAUGCAUGACUGUGGGAUCCACUCCUUUGACCACACAUAUGGAUGACUUGAAAGCUGCCAGCCUUCAUGAACAAUGAAAAGGCCAUUGAUGGCUCAGCAAAAGUGCCAGCUCAGGGCCAAUGCUCCCCAGGGUUGGCCUCGAGGGUGGCUACAAUGCUGUAACAACAGCCAAUAGGGUGCUGAACCUACAGCCUACCUAAGGUGCUUUGACACCAAUUGUCAGAACACACGGGUCUGGAAGCCAAAUCUUGGAAGUAGGAUUGGUUGCUUUCGUUGUAACUCCUAGUGACCCACUAGUUGAAUUUUGGUUCCUAUCCCUGAGAACUUAUGUUCCACAGGACUAGAGAUCCUGGUUCCUGGGAUGAAGCAGGGCAGCUUCCCCUGAGGUUCACAGUAAAGGUUCUGUUGAACCUGUAUGUGACUGUCACUGGGACCCUUUGGGCCUGCCAGUGGAUGAGCAGGCAAAGAAAGAAGUUACUCCACCAUCAGGGGACAGAAAAUUCCAGUUCUCAAUGGGGCUAUGGUUGCUUCCGGGGGACUGAAACAUGGCUGAGACCGAGGAGAUUGUUGGUGGCUUCCUCUGGUGCUUCCAAGUCUGGGGUUAAUGAUGACUGGGCAUUUGCAGCCAUCAGGGCCUGAUAAACACAAGGCAGCCAAGAGCUCAGGCCCUGAGCGGUGAAAGGCCAGCCAGUGCUCAGGCAGGUGACCUGGACCAUCAUAAGUGCUGAUAGAAAUCUAGGACGUGCGGUGGAGGAGGGAGAUGACACAUCCCAACCACGGUCCCUGGUUAGCUGCAGGCGGCGUGUCCGCCACGCCUUCUCUAUGGAGUCAUUUGGAGAUGGUGGCUGGCCACGAUCGUGCAGGCUUAGUGACAGAACAAUCUGAGAAGAACGAGGGGUGGGCUGCUGCAGAUCCGUGUGGUGCUCUGACUCACGCCCUCUCAGCCUAACUUCUCAUUUCAGCAGGGAUUGGGGUGUGUUUCUGUUCCGUGGUUAAGUCGCUGCAUGCUCACGGCAGCUUACUUCGAGCACGGGCUGCAAGGUUUUACUUUCUUCAUCAGGAUUCCUCUCAUGCCAUGAAUGAGGAAAGUUUACAGUUGUAGGAGUUGAUAUACCUAGAGAAAAAUGCUGGUGAGUAAAGGCUCAUACCUCCUGUUUUUCUUUGGGGACUGUUCUAGAGCCUUCUAUGCCCUUCUCAUCAUGUCUAAGCAGAAUGGAGUGCCCAUUGUUUACAGCAGUUUCCAUGGCAAUGCUGUUGCUUUUUCCUCCCCAGUCUCACUGUUACAGGUUGAAUUGUGUCCCUGAAAAGAUAUGUUCAAGUCCUAACCCUUGGUAUCUGGGAAUAUGACCUUAUUUGCAAAUAGGGUCUCUGCAGAUGUAAUCAACUUAAGAUGAGGUUAGGCUGGCUUAGGGUGGGUCAUUAACCCAGUAUGUCUGGUGUCCUUAUAAAAAGACAAUGUGAAGACGUGUGGGGAGAAGACCGUGUGAUGGUGAGACAGAGACAGGGAUCAGAGCAAUGCAGCUUCAAGCCAAGAAGCGCCAAGUUUGACAACAAAUACCUGAGCCGGGAAGAGGCCAGGAAGGAUUCCGUCCUAUGGUUUUCAGAGGCAGCCUGGCCUUCCCACAUCUUGAUCUUGGACUCACAGCCUCCAGAAAUGUGAGAGAACAAGUUUCUGUUGUUUGAGCUGCCCAGUGAUGGUCAUGGCAGCCUCAGGAGAUGACGCACUCACUCUUUCUGCUUCCUCUCUCAUGCUCCCUGGGGUCACCUCUCCAAUAACCUGCCUGAUCACCAUCCAUUGGUCCAGAGUUUUCUUUAUUAGAAACCCAAGCUAGGAUAACCUCCACGCCGUGCAAAGAGGGAGACACUGCUGCCUAAAGGAGACUUUAGUUUUUGAAUGAACUCUUUUUUUGGUGAUACAGUUAAUCAUAAUUCAAUUUACCAUUUUCCGACUGCCUGUUAUGUGCCUGGCACUUCACAAACAUAUCAAGUCUAAUCCAGUAUCAUCCCAUGCGGUAGCUGCUAUUAUCACCAUUUUGUAGACGGGAAACUGAGUCUGAUGGAGGUUGGGAGACUUGCACUAUUUGUGACCCCAAAUCUACAUUCUUUCUAAAUACCUAGGACCCAAUCUUUGCCCAGUAAUUUACUUUCUCUGUAGGUUCCAACUUUUCUCUAUGUAUCCACCUGGAUUAGUUGAUAUCUAGGUUUGGCUGCUGAGACAAAGACCAACAUAUGAGUGACUUAAACAAGAUGGACAUUUAUUUCUCUUUACAGAAAGCUACAUAUGGGGCAGUCCUGCUCCUCAGGGCCCACGGAAGCUCAGAUUCCUCCUGUCUACUUGCUCUGCCAGAUGUUGUUUUUGGUGGCUUAAUGCCACUUUCACUCUCCAGCCAGUAGAAAGGUGAGAAAAGCGAAAGAGGAGAACAGAGUUCUCUUCACUGCAGGAUCUCCUUACAUCCCACUGAUCAGAAUUUCCACCAUGACCAUGCCUAGAUUCAAGGGGUGAGGUAAGGGGAGGGGCUGGGAAAUGCAGUCUGCAUUCUGUGCCCAGCUAAAAUGUAGGGAUGCGGUUGCCAUAGAAUCGGGGAAAGUGGAUAUGGGGGCAUGGCAGCUGGUGCUCACGGGGCACCCUUUGCCUUUGACAGUGGAUUGGGCAUUAUGCAGAACACGAAGAGGAGCACAUUGUAGUCUCUGACUUCAAAAGAAGCAGACAGCAAAGGGGAAGUUUCCUUCCAGGUGGAGGUUGCCGAUUGGUCUACGGAAUGGUGAGAAUACUGUGAAAGAUGGAGCACAGAUAUCCAAGUGUGAUCGGUCAGCAGGUCUUGGCCAGGAGCAUAGGUAGAAUAAACAAAUAAAUAAGUAAAGAGGGGAGGGGAAAGUAAUAUUAAGACUGUUCAAGACUUGGAUUACAGCCCUCCUAAAAAGCAGCCCUUUGAAGUCUUGGGAUAUUAGAGAAAGAUCCCAACAACCACUGAGCCUGGUUUUGAUUUUUGGAGGAAACACACCAGGUGAAUAAAGCAGUGUGACACCAGAGAAAGGAGGCCAGCAAAGGUGAAUAGGACCCCAGCCUUUCAAGGACUUGGGCAGAGCAACUGGAGGAGGUGUGAGUUCAGCCAGCCGUGUGGAUCAGUUUCCUAGGCUGCUGUAACAAAGCACCACAACCUGGUGGCUUAGAACAACGGAAAGGCAUUCGCUCACAGUUCCAGAAGCCGUAGGUUAGAAACUAAGUGUGGCAAGGUCAUGGCCCCUCUGAAACCUAGGAGGGAAGGAUGCUUCCCUGCUUCUUCCUGCUUCUGCUCUCCCCUGAUGUUCCUGGGUUAGUGGCAGCAUCAUUCUGGCCUCUGCCUCUGUCUUAACAUGGUGUUUUUCCUGUGUCUCUUCAUAUUGCCUUUUCUCUCUGUGCCUCGACCUCUGAGUCCAAAUUGCCCCUUUCUAUGAGGACACCAGUCACAUUGGAUUAGAGUCCACUUUACAGACCUUGUUUUUUUUGUUUUUUUUGUUUUU